AGGCUUGUAGCUCAGUGGUAUUAGAGCUUAUGUUUCCUAAACAUGAAGUCGAAGGUUCAAGUCCUUUCAAGCCUA
rnacentral:tRNA from 2 species